ensembl:misc_RNA Metazoa_SRP Metazoan signal recognition particle RNA
UGCCGACUGGGUGUCUGCACUAAGUUUAGAAUCAUUAUGGUGACCUCCCAGGAGUGGGGAACCACCGGUUUGCCUAAGGUGGGGUGAACCUGCCCAGGUCAGAAAUAGAGCAGGUCAAACUCCCAUGCUAAUCAAUAGUGGGAUUGUGCCUAUGAA